GAAGACUUGCAAAUAAAUCGGUUAUCGAUAGGUUAGUAAAGCCAACAAUUAGACCAAGAGCUGUAACCAGUACAAUGGCUGUGACACCCUGAAUAAAUCUCAUCAAUAGCUGGAAGUUCGUUGAUUUUUUAGGACUGAAGGUGAAGAUCUUGAAUAUCAAAACAAUCCCAACGAGCACCACCCACGAGAAACCAUAUAACGCAAGUGAUGUGUCCUUUCCUGUGAGAUGGAGCUUGUACACAAUUCCAAAUUGAAAUAGGAAGAACCUCACAGUCAAGAUUGUCUCCAAUAUUCGACCCCGGAAUGUUUGAAUAUGUGCCUGUUCCUCAUCCCACCAUGAUUCCA
rnacentral:misc_RNA from 1 species